UACGAAGGGGCUGCAGCGUUAAUCGGAAUUACUGGGCGUAAAGCGUGCGCAGGCGGUUCGCUAAGACAGAUGUGAAAUCCCCGGGCUUAACCUGGGAACUGCAUUUGUGACUGGCGGGCUAGAGUAUGGCAGAGGGGGGUAGAAUUCCACGUGUAGCAGUGAAAUGCGUAGAGAUGUGGAGGAAUACCGAUGGCGAAGGCAGCCCCCUGGGCCAAUACUGACGCUCAUGCACGAAAGCGUGGGGAGCAAACGG
rnacentral:rRNA from 1 species